rnacentral:rRNA from 1 species
GACUACAGGGGUAUCUAAUCCUGUUUGCUCCCCACGCUUUCGCGCCUCAGCGUCAGUAGUGGUCCAGAUGGCCGCCUUCGCCACCGGUGUUCUUCCCAAUAUCUACGAAUUUCACCUCUACACUGGGAAUUCCACCAUCCUCUCCCACACUCAAGCGAUCCAGUAUCAAACGCAGUUCCUAGGUUGAGCCCAGGGCUUUCACGCCUGACUAAAAUCGCCGCCUACGCGCCCUUUACGCCCAGUCAUUCCGAACAACGCUAGCCCCCUUCGUAUUACCGCGGCUGCUGGCACGAAGUUAGCCGGGGCUUCUUCUGCGGGUACCGUCAUCAUCGUCCCCGCCGAAAGGGCUUUACAACCCGAAGGCCUUCAUCACCCACGCGGCAUUGCUGGAUCAGGGUUGCCCCCAUUGUCCAAUAUUCCCCACUGCAGCCCCCCGUAGG